rnacentral:rRNA from 1 species
UACGGAGGGUGCAAACGUUGCUCGGAAUCAUUGGGCGUAAAGCGCGCGUAGGCGGCUCCGCAAGUCGGCCGUGAAAUCUCCGGGCUCAACUCGGAGGGGUCGGGCGAGACUGCGGGGCUCGAGGUGGGCAGAGGGCAGUGGAAUUCCGGGUGUAGUGGUGGAAUGCGUAGAGAUCCGGAGGAACACCAGUGGCGAAGGCGGCUGCCUGGGCCUGGCCUGACGCUGAGGCGCGAAAGCGUGGGGAGCAAUCCGG